AGUGAACGCUGGCGGUAGGCCUAACACAUGCAAGUCGAACGGCAGCACAGUAAGAGCUUGCUCUUACGGGUGGCGAGUGGCGGACGGGUGAGGAAUACAUCGGAAUCUACUUUUUCGUGGGGGAUAACGUAGGGAAACUUACGCUAAUACCGCAUACGACCUACGGGUGAAAGCAGGGGAUCUUCGGACCUUGCGCGAGUGAAUGAGCCGAUGUCGGAUUAGCUAGUUGGCGGGGUAAAGGCCCACCAAGGCGACGAUCCGUAGCUGGUCUGAGAGGAUGAUCAGCCACCCUGGAACUGAGACACGUUCCAGACUCCUACGGGAGGCAGCAGUGGGGAAUAUUGGACAAUGGGCGCAAGCCUGAUCCAGCCAUACCGCGUGGGUGAAGAAGGCCUUCGGGUUGUAAAGCCCUUUUGUUGGGAAAGAAAAGCAGCAGGUUAAUACCCCGCUGUUCUGACGGUACCCAAAGAAUAAGCACCGGCUAACUUCGUG
rnacentral:rRNA from 1 species